UACGUAGGUGGCAAGCGUUGUUCGGAAUUAUUGGGCGUAAAGGGCGCGUAGGCGGUUUGUUAAGUCGGCUGUGAAAGCCUGGGGCUCAACCCCAGAGGGUCGGCCGAUACUGGCAAACUAGAGUACGGAAGAGGUAGCUGGAAUUCCCGGUGUAGCGGUGAAAUGCGUAGAGAUGUGGAGGAACACCGAUGGCGAAGGCAGCCUCCUGGGCCAACACUGACGCUCAUGCACGAAAGCGUGGGGAGCAAACAGG
rnacentral:rRNA from 1 species